rnacentral:rRNA from 1 species
AUGCUCACCACCGCCGGUUGGUUCCUCCACCAUUGCACCUACUACAGCAACCCACCUCGGAUUGUGAGCGCGACAUCAUCUCAAGAGUAUGGUACAUUGUCAAUGUCCGUACCUACAUCAGCUACGUCUUUGCGACAAGGUAAAAGUAAAGGUAUUGAUGAUAUAACUUCACAUGAGAAUGAUUCAUGCCUAGUUAACUUGAAUGCAUCAUGUGUUGAGUUACCUCUUGAUUUGAGCACACCACCUAUUUUAGAGAAUCUUGUUAUUGUCAUGAAUGCGUUAUGUGAUCAAACAACUGAAAUACCAACAAUUUUGAGUACAGCCAUUAAAUUAACUGUUGAUGCCAAAGAACCAAUGUUUAAUCAUUUUGAUAUGACCUCUAAUCUUGGUGAUGAUUCUGUGUCAAUUGACUUAUUGCAUGUUUGCUUAUUUAAGCAUGUUGUAGCAUGUAAGUUUGAUGCAAGUAAGGUUUAUUCACCAAUGUUGGGAUGGUUUAAUGAUGAACAUUUCCAAUCCUUUGAUAUGAAUAAGAGCUUCACUUAUAUGUGCAAACUGAGUUGCAAUAUUUUCAUGCCUUCUACUUCUUGUGAUAAUAUUUCGGCUUCAGAUUUUAUGAACUAUGAAAAAAAAUGGAUGACAUAG